rnacentral:rRNA from 1 species
CCUACGGGGGGCAGCAGUAGGGAAUAUUGCUCAAUGGGGGAAACCCUGAAGCAGCAACGCCGCGUGGAGGAUGAAGGUUUUCGGAUUGUAAACUCCUUUUGUUAGAGAAGAUAAUGACGGUAUGUAACGAAUAAGCACCGGCUAACUCGGUGCCAGAAGACGCGGUAAUACGGAGGGUGCAAGCGUUACUCGGAAUCACUGGGCGUAAAGAGGGCGUAGGCGGGAUAGCAAGUCAGAAGUGAAAUCCUAGGGCUUAACCAUAGAACUGCAUUUGAAACUGUUAUUCUAGAGUAGGGGAGAGGUAGGUGGAAUUCGUGGGGUAGGGGUAAAAUCCGUAGAGAUCAAGAGGAACACUCAUUGCGAAGGCGACCUGCUAGCACAUAACUGACGCUGAGGCGCGAAAGCGUGGGUAGCGAACAGGAUUAGAUACCCUAGUAGUC